rnacentral:rRNA from 1 species
AAGCGUGGACGCCAGUCUGCGUGGAGCCGACCUUGAAAUACCACCCUUUAAUGUUUGAUGUUCUAACGUGGACCCGUGAUCCGGGUUGCGGACAGUGUCUGGUGGGUAGUUUGACUGGGGCGGUCUCCUCCUAAAGAGUAACGGAGGAGCACGAAGGUUGGCUAAUCCUGGUCGGACAUCAGGAGGUUAGUGCAAUGGCAUAAGCCAGCUUGACUGCGAGCGUGACGGCGCGAGCAGGUGCGAAAGCAGGUCAUAGUGAUCCGGUGGUUCUGAAUGGAAGGGCCAUCGCUCAACGGAUAAAAGGUACUCCGGGGAUAACAGGCUGAUACCGCCCAAGAGUUCAUAUCGACGGCGGUGUUUGGCACCUCGAUGUCGGCUCAUCACAUCCUGGGGCUGAAGUAGGUCCCAAGGGUAUGGCUGUUCGCCAUUUAAAGUGGUACGCGAGCUGGGUUUAGAACGUCGUGAGACAGUUCGGUCCCUAUCUGCCGUGGGCGCUGGAGAACUGAGGGGGGCUGCUCCUAGUACGAGAGGACCGGAGUGGACGCAUCACUGGUGUUCGGGUUGUCAUGCCAAUGGCACUGCCCGGUAGCUAAAUGCGGAAGAGAUAAGUGCUGAAAGCAUCUAAGCACGAAACUUGCCCCGAG